rnacentral:rRNA from 1 species
UACGAAGGGGACUAGCGUUGUUCGGAAUUACUGGGCGUAAAGCGCACGUAGGCGGAUUUGUAAGUCAGGGGUGAAAUCCCGGGGCUCAACCUCGGAACUGCCUUUGAUACUGGGGAUCUCGAGUCCGGGAGAGGUGAGUGGAACUGCGAGUGUAGAGGUGAAAUUCGUAGAUAUUCGCAAGAACACCAGUGGCGAAGGCGGCUCACUGGCCCGGAACUGACGCUGAGGUGCGAAAGCGUGGGGAGCAAACAGG